rnacentral:rRNA from 1 species
UACAGAGGCCUCGAGCGUUAGGCGGAAUCACUGGGCUUAAAGCGUGUGUAGGCGGACUUCUAAGUACCUUGUGAAAUCCCACGGCUCACCCGUGGAACUGCUGGGUAUACUGGUCGUCUUGAGCCUUCUAGGGGCUACCGGAACAAAUGGUGGAGCGGUGAAAUGCGUAGAUAUCAUUUGGAACGCCAAUGGUGAAAACAGGUAGCUGGAGAAGUGCUGACGCUGAGACACGAAAGCCAGGGGAGCGAACGGG